rnacentral:lncRNA from 1 species
UUGACAAAAUGGUCACUGAGAGCAGUGCAACCCCCAGCAUUAAAGUGGAAGAGUGGGUGUCACUGUUAAAGUUGCAGGAAACAACCUGGUCCUCAGUGUAACUCAGGAUGCCCUUGCAGGGAACCUCCAAUGCCUGCUUCAUCACCUUGUUUUUGGCAGCUU